GCCGGAGUGGUGAAAUUGGUAGACACAGCAGACUCAAAAUCUGCCACAGCGAUGUGUAUGGGUUCAAGUCCCAUCUCCGGUA
rnacentral:tRNA from 5 species